AUCUAGCCCCGAUGGAAGCGAUAUCCUUUUAUGGCGGGGUUCGCCAUGAAAGAUUUAGCGGACAGCGGGACGGGUC
rnacentral:sRNA from 1 species